GCUGAGUGGGGGAGAGAGAGGGACAGAGAGCCUGCUUGCUUUAAAGGAACCAACCGGACAGGACUCCUCUCCUCUCCCGCUUUGCUCCUUUAAAGCAGCAGGCUCUCUGUCCCUCUCUCCUCCCCACUCAGC